UAAGAUGGCGCUCGCCUGAUGAGGACACAACUAGCUCGGAUAUAACUAUGACUACCUUAUGUAUUAAUCAACCAAAGGUGCAUAUGUUCUACAUUAGAUUUACAUGCUAUAUAUUUGAACAAACGUUGCUACACAAUGAGUUUUAUGUGUUUUUGUUUGCAGAGGUACUUGCUUGGGCGAAGGAAAAGAGACCGAGCGUAAAGAAUUCAUGGAUGAUCAAAGAAGUUGAUUGGGGACCAUAUCAAGACCUUCUCCAAGUCUUCUUUCAUUUCACCACGUCACUUUUGGUCCAUAGAAGACAAGAGAUAAAGUUCCACACGUUUUGGAUUCGGAUUCGGGCCUCGUGACAGCAUCAACUUCAAACGGACCUAGCCGCUGAUCUAGAAGGAAUUUUGGGGCCCAUGAGUACUUGUUAGAAAGCUUAUGGAGUCUACUUUCAGAUGGUUUUGGUCCCAUGUCAAAAUUCCUACCGAGCUGCCGGGAAUCUACAAAACAAGCCAUAUAUCUCAUCCAGUCCGAAUCUGACUUGGGUUUUGGGCCUUGUAAUUGUGUUGUGGGCUUAGCCCAAGAGGGUGUGCACCCUAGGGCAACCCUAGGACGUCCCUAAUCACAUUUAUUCAGUAGCCGUCAUCGUUUAGAGUCGGGUUUUGCUUAGAUUAUUCCGUCAAGAACCCGACUCUAAACUUUGUUGAAUUCUAGGUUGCAUCGUCGUGUCGAGUACUGGUUUAGUUUUAGAUUUAAUUUUUAGUUUUGAGUAUUGCAUCUGUUCAUCACUUAGGUCUAGGGUACAUCACUCAAGUGUGUGAGUUGUACGUCAGUUUUGGGUUCAGUUUUUCAUCUCGUUAGUUGUUGCCGGGAUCUUGAAAAAUUGAAUCGUCUCGUCGUCGGGUUUCCGUUUUUGUGAUUUGGAGAAAUUUUUAUCAAAUGGUUUUAGAGUUGCCGUACUGUGCAUGUGUACUGUGCGCGUGUGGGGAGUACUGUGUGCGCAUGAGGAGAGACUCCGUAUCAGAUCUAUCCGUAGCUGUCCGUAUUUCCCUCUUUAUAGAAUUGUUAAGUAGCGGAUUUGAGAUAUUUUUAUAAAAACGGAACCUACAUGAUAUGAGCAAUCCAUUUUUGAGAUGAUCCAAUUUUAGUUUUGCACUUUGCGUUUGAGUCCCUGUAAUAUUCAUAUUUACAUUUGAGUCCCUAUUCGAGGUCAGUGGUCAGUUUUUAUUGAAAAAAAAAGUAAAAAAAAGAAUAAAGAAAGAAAGAAAAGGCAGAAAGGUGCAAAGAAAAAAAAGAGAAAAAAGCCACACCUAAAAAAAGAAAAAAGAAGGCAGAAAGGUGCUUAAAAAAAGCCGCACCAAGAAAGAAAAAAAAAUCAUUCAUCCUUUGAGUAUGUUAUCUGAGUGCAGAGUUGUGCAUUGAUUCAUAUCUAGUCUUUAGUGGUGUCGGGUGCUUGCUUGAGCUAGAGUUGAGUCUAGGCUAGGCCAGCACAUUGACUAGUACUUUGAACUAUUAUUCAACUUUGCAUUUUCUGAUUAACACAAUUGCGUUUUUUUGCUACUAUAUAUUGUGCCUCCCAAGCUACACAUAUAUACUUCUGGUCAGCACCGCUUUGAUCCUUGCAAUCGCCACAUCACGUCCUUCAAGGUGUCACGAACCAGCCACCGGUUGUACCGUCCUCAGCAUUGCUGGUAAGACACUUGUAAGAGCUUGGUAAGGUGCUCCAUUUGGCUGAGUUGUUGAGGGGCACCACUACACCGCGUAGCAGAUUAUUAGGGAUAACCUUCAUUGUUUGUUAUUGUUUUUGUGUUUGCAAUGACAGGUAUGAGUGGCGCUCAAAAUCAGCGAUACCAACAAGGUGCACGUGAUGAAAGUACUUGGGUGCAACAAGUGCUAAGUUCUCAAAUGUACAAAGCAGAGCAAUGGCAGUACCACGAAUUAUUUGAAACAAAGUUUAUGGUUAAGUGUUAUCGAAAUGACAACUGCAUACGUCGAAAGACGUGGUUACUCAACAGUGGUUGGAAGGAAACGAAGUGUAUUGAAUCUUGAAUUUCUUCCUUUUUUUCUCCCCCCAUUACAUGGCCCUAGGGGACUAUUUAUAGCCCCAUUACAGGUUCUUACUACUAGGGUUUAGGUUAUACAGGGGAAUUUACAUGAUUAUCCUAACGAAAGGGACAUUUACAGGGGUACAUAAUGUUAUAGGGGCUCAUGGGCCCCUGAUGGGCCGUCUGGUGAUCGCCGGCCCUAUAGCCCCUAGGCUUGAUGGGCCGGAAAGGCUUCUUCGGCCCUCGCGAGGGCGAACUUGCCAUGGCGAAGUCGUCUUCCUUCGGCAGAUAGUCUUUGCCUUGAACCCUUCGCCUGAGACGCCUCUGGCCUGGCAAGGCACUCGUACGACUCUUCGCCUCACGCCGUUCUUGCUCCAUAGCCUUCGCCACGGGUUUCGGCAGAUUUGGUCGAAGGGCCUCAUGCCAUCCGCCAACAAGCCCCUCACGGGCAAGGGUGAGAUUGGAGCUUUGGCCGAGACCGUGCAAACCAUGUGGUAUGGUAUGCGGCACCCCCUUUUGACCGAUGCUCCUGCUGAAACCUAUAUUAUUCCUGCGAAUGAAGUUUGUUACUUGUGCGGCUAUUAUUAUUUUGCCGCACUUCGCCUCCUGCGAUUGGUGGUUAUUAUUAUUUUCUUUUCCCGGGCCGAACCGAACAGUAUUGGGCUUUCCCUUCGUGGGCUUUUGACUGUGCCGCUCGGUCGGUGGGAAUUUACCGUUUCGCCUACCCUUGCGACACGUGGCGCUUUAUUAUUGGUGGGUAGGCGAACGGUCGCCCGGGUGAGCUAUAUAUUCCCACCGCUCUUUCCUUUUCACCGCCACACUUGCCAUUUUACCGCGUGCGCUCUCUUCCUCCGUCUCUUUCUUCCACAGCAUCUCUCGACCCCUCAAGCGUUUCGCCCAUUCUUUUUCUUCGCCACCGCAAACGCACCAUUCACCAUGGCCUCUCGCAAGCCAAACCCUGCUUCGGCGAAAGGGCCGGAUCCCGGCCGAGUCGAUGACGACAGCACCGCCUUUUUGGGGGUCUCUCUUGUAGACGACGUCGAGCUGGCGAAGCUGGUCAGCUCUGGGGCGUUGGUCGCGGGGCAGGCUUUCGCCCCAGGGAAAGCCGUGGUGCCGAAACCUAUCGACAAUCGGACGGUGGUAUUCGCCGUCUUUUUUGAGGCAGGGCUACGGUUUCCCUGCAACGUGUUGUUGCCGGAGAUCCUUCGCCUCUUCCAGGUGGAACUUCCACAGCUGAGUCCGUCGGCGCUUGUUUAGAUCGCUAUCUUCGACUGGGCGUGCCGGACUUCCGGGUUUGAGCCUAACGCCGAGCUCUUCGGCGCCAUAUUUUUCGUCACCGUGAACUCGAAGAAGGUGAUUACCCCGGCUGGGACGAAGAAGACAGUGUUCGGGAGCGUGAACUUUAACGUUCGUCCCGAGCGGUCCGAUCUCUGGCCGGUGAACGCUGGCAUGUCGAAGUGGGACCGCCAAUGGAUGGCUAGGUGGUUCUAUCACACCAUCCCCUUUGAGGCUGGCACUGACUCGGCGAAAGCCCUCUAUUGCCGACGUAGGGCGAUCGCGCCUAACCAGAAACCCAAGAUCGCCGUGGACGGCGCUAUGGAGGCGCGGUUCGUUCUUCUGUGGAAGGUUUGCUCCCGCCUUAGCUGCCUUGACUUGGUGGAGGAAUUCUGUAUGCUUCGUAUCUUUCCCCUCUCCCAGUCAUGGCAAGUCAGAGUUGAUCAAGGCGAAGAGGUUGACGGUUUGCCAAACCUGGUUCUUCCUGAGGGGAUGAACAGUAAGACUGUUCUCUUGCUAUACACUGUUGUGCUUUGUUAUCUUGCCUUGUCUGACUGUUAACAUAUCUACACACUUUUGCAGCGUUGACCCUCGACCAGGCUGAAAACGAGGCCCGUAGGAUGAUCGGCGACGUGUCGGUCGUCGAGUAUAGCCAGUUGUUAACACGACAAGCGGCUGGACGGGCGAACCGGGUUUACAACGGCGAAUUGCCUCCUCGGGUAAACACCCACAAAGCUGACGACGAUGUAGGGCCUUCGUGAAAACGAAUGCGCGGACAAGUGAAGCUUGCCCCUAGGAAGCGAAGGGUUCCUGCUUCGUCGGACUCCGACGCCGACGACGAGGACGAUGCCGAAGAACGCGACGGCGAGGAGGAGGAAGAGGAGGAGGCCAUGGCCGAUAAGGCCGUGAACGAGGCGAUCGAAGACCGCGUCGACACCCCUAGCUACACUCCUACCCCAAGUCCCGGUCACAACGAGACUGGGGUGGAGUCGAACAGCUCCCCCGUUCGACGGAAGGAUUUGGAAGGAGCGAAGGCUCUAGUUGCGUUCUCCUCGGGCACGGUGGCGAAGGGAGGUCCGGUGAAGAAGAUCUCCAAAAAGAAAGGACUCGUCGACAUCGCCCGCGUUUUCAGCGACGAUGAGUCUUCUGACGAGACUCCGACCUCGCCUGCUGGCCGCAGUUUGGACCUCUCGACUGCUCCCCUUGCUCCGCUCGGCGUUGCUGGUGCAGGCGGUAGUGCCGCCGCCAGGGCUUCCGCCUCCGCCAAACGGAUCGUGUCGGCCGCGGCGAUGGUUUUCGGGAGCCCUAUGCGUGAGCCAGCUAUUUCGCCGCUGGUCAAGGCGAAGGGGAAGUGUGCGGCCGCCGAAGCAUCUGCCUCGGAGUAUUCCCUUGCGGCGCCCCACUUUACCCCUGGUGAUUUCGAGACUCGGGCGGACCUUAUUCCCUUUGUGGAGGGUGUGAGCAACCUUGUCUUGCCUGCCGGCACCCCGAGCCUGUUCACCGAACUUAAUGAGUUCGACGAGGGGUGUUCCACCAUUAAAAGUUUGGCGGUUCGAGUAUGCCUUUUCUUCCUUCUUCGUUUUCCUCUUCCCUCUUUUUUUUACGUCUCACAAUUAACCUUUUGUUCUUUUCGCCUGCUCCUAUCUUUCAUCUAGAUUCUUGCGGCUCACUGUUCGAUGGAGCGAACCGUGCGGGCCCGUUUUGACGGUUUCAAAAACCGUCUUUGGGCCAAGGAUGAUGAAAUAAGCCGCAAGAACUUGGAGGUGGAGGCCCUGGCCCACACCUUCAAGGAGGCGAAGACUGAAGUCAAACGCCUUCAGUCCGAAUUAGAUAAGGGGAAAGAGGCCAGGGCCGAGGUUGAUCGCCUCAAGGCCGAACUGGAGAAGGAGAAGGCCCAUUCGGCGGUGCUCAUCGAUUACUACAACCUUACUGAGCCGAAGAUGGAGGCUCUUCGCCAGAAGGCUAGCAGGGCCGAAGCGAGCGCCACGGAGGAGUCGCAGCGGUUUUCGCGGGAGAUGGCGAAGACCACCGAAUCCGCGAGAAUGGCUUGCCAAACGCUCCGCCUCGCCCUUACCGACAUAGGCACGAAGGUGCGAGGGGUCCCUGCCGAGGAUGCCUCAGCCUUCGACUUCUCCGAGUGGACCCAGCAGGCUGGCGGAUUGGUUUCGGACUGCGCCACCGUGUACGGCGAUUGCUGUGCACGUGUAUCGGCGGCCUUCACCUUAGGCCUUUUGCAGCAGUUCGGCUGCGAGCACAUUGCCGAGUUCCCUACCUAUGCGAAGGGGGACUGGGAGAUUAGUGCGCAGAACAUUUCGCCCGCUCUUCGCGCGUGGCGAAAACAGUUCUGGCAGAAAGACGGCCGGUCCGCUGCCAAGGCGCGCCUUCUGGAGCAACUGGCGAAGGCGGAGGCGGCAGAUCGGUGCGAAGAAGAGGGCGCGGUGGGCGAAGAGGUUGGAGGCGCUGCCCAGGAUCACCUAGAGGUGUGAGGCCCUCUGCCCUUUCCUUAGAUUUUUGUAGUUUUCCUCCCUCUUUUGCGUUUGCCUGGAGAGGCGAAUGAUGUACAUUCGGCAGGCUACCGCCAAACCUUAAAAAAAGGCUUUUUUGUACAUUUGGAAUAUAUGACAAUCUUAAUUACUUUUUGAUGAUCGAAGUCUUUGGCAUAUUAUUAUUUCGCUCAUCUCGCAUUAUGCCAUACCUCCCCCUUCUUCCGCCUAUUCUUACUAUGUAAGCUGUGUUUUGCUUUUUCUGCACUGUCCAUCAGGGGGUUCGCCGAAAGUCGUGCAUCCGGCCCUCUUCCGGGAGCUGGCGAAGUCAAAACGAGAAAUUUGUGGCAGUGAAGGGUCUGCCGAAAGUGCGAUGUCCAUUUCGGCCUGUUUAUCGCGAAAUGGAGAUAAACGGUCGCAACUAUAAGGCUUUCAAGGUUGCCGACUGGCUGCGGGCGCACCCCGGGCGAACCUUAGAAGAUUACGAUCUUGUUCAUUCAAGACAUUUGGAGGAUAUGGCUCGCUUUUGGCGAAACCAUCAGAAGACUAAACGCCAGGAAACGAUCUUUCAGCGUCGUUACAGUUUAGUCUGUGUUUCGCCCCCUACUCCUCUUAAGGUUGUGUACGGUAUUAGUAGUGAUGAUGAACCUAGUUCGCCUGAUCAUUCCUUAGGGAGGGAUAGUGAUUAUGGGGACAAAGAUGUAAUUUACUUGUAAGGUGAAUUGUAUCGUGUUGUGAAACUUCUAUUCUUCGAUUAUUUUUUUCGAAGUUAAUAAAGACGUGUUUUAUUUCCUUUUCGCUAUUGUUUGCAUCGUCACAUUUUGUGCUUUUGUUAGGUCAGAACAUGCUGGCCCCUUUGCAUAUAUUAGCGAAAUAGGUGUACUGACUUUUUAGCUUUUCGUCGUUCGUUUUCGAUCUGUAGCGUUCUGUGUCGAGAGAAACGCUUUUGCUUUUAUGCUGAUCGUUCGGCUAUUUAUUUUCCGAGACAAGCUGUUGCGGUUUCAACGUUCGGCGAGCAAUGCUUCGGCCGAUUCAUUUCGCCCCCCUGGCCUUUUUCGCUGAUCAGGCGUUUGCCUUGGGGUUUUUCCACAAAUUAUCAAUCACACGAAAAAUAAAAAGAAGGCGGACAAAGAGAUUUUAUACUGGUUCGGGCCUCCAUGGUGAAUAAUAGCCCUACAUUUAGUUUUUUUUUCUUUUUUCUCUCUUUCUUCUUUUUUUUUCUUGCCGAAAGGCUUUCAUAGUGCCGAAGGGCUUACAUGACAGUAUGUACAUUUUUUCAAUUUGGCAAUUUGGGUGCCACCCAUUCUAGACAUAGAAGCGCUUGAGAGAGGCGGCGUUCUAGGAAUGGUCGAACUCCUCGCCUCCGAGUGUCGCUAUGCGAAAAGAUCCCGUCCUGGACUUGUGUUUGAUGAGGUAUGGUCCUUCCCACUUUGAUUCAAGCUUGCCAACCGCUACUGGGUUCGCCUUCUUCCUUAGGAUGAGAUGACCAGGCAUCAGCUUUUUUGUUGUAAGUUGCCGAAGUGCUUGUGGCGUACUUGUGCAUGUGCUCAAGCGCCUCGACCCUUACUCCUUCCAAGAGUUCGAGCGAUACUUCGCGUCCCUCUUCGCCCCCAGAGAACAUCACCCUUGGUGAGUUAGCCCCUAGCUCUGCUGGGGUCAUUGCCUCAUCGCCAUAAAGAAGCAUAAACGGACUAAACUUGGUUGGUCUUGUGGGGGUCGUCCGAAGGGCCCAGAGAACCAAUAGCAAUUCCUCUGGCCAUUUGCCUUUUGCUGCCCCCUCGAGUCUUUUCUUUAGUGCUUCUAGGAUCUUGCCAUUUGUACGUUCGGCUGCCCUAUUUGACUGCGGGUGUGCGAUCGACGCAAACCUGAUUUCCAGGUUAAGCCCUUCGCACAUUUCUCUGAACUUAUCAGAGUCAAACUGCUUGCCGUUGUCAGUAAUGAACUCUUUUGGCACUCUGAAACGGCAAACAAUGUUUUUCCAUACAAACUUCUGUACUGCUGCCGAAGUGAUUGCCCCAAGGGGUUCGGCUUCAAUCCAUCGAGAGAAAUAUUCCACAGCUACAAUUGUGAAUUUAUACCCGUUUCGCGCCACCGGGAAUGGCCCGAUGAUGUCCAGUCCCCAUCUGGCGAAGGGCCAUAUUGGCGCAAUGGGCUGCAAAUCAUACUGGGGCGCGGCUUGGCUUCGGCCAUGAUGCUGGCAACUUUCGCACUUCUUUAUUUGCUCAACAUAGACUUUCAACACAGUGGGCCAAUAAACUCCUUGUCUAAAUACUUUGGAGGCCACUGUUCUUGCAACCUGGUGCGCACCACAUAGUCCCUGGUGUAUCUCUUUUGCCAUUUCUUCGCCUUCGGCAAAAGAGAUGCAAUGAAGUAAGGGUUGAAAUACCCCGGAGCGGUAAAGCUGACCCGAGACCAUCUUAUACUUCAUGGCUCUGAGUUGCAAACGCUUCGCUUCUGCUUCGUCUACCGGAAGCCAGCCAGUUUCAAGGUGUUUCACAAAUAGGGUUCGCCAGUCAUAUGGGUCUUCGCCCAGUUUCUCCUGGUCGAUUGCCAUGACUUCGGAGCUGUCCAUGGGCACACUUGGAGCAUGUAGGACUUCGAAAAAGAUGCCAGGUGAAUGUGGGCCACCACAAGCAGCGGAUUUCGCCAAGGCGUCUGCUUCCUCGUUCUGGUCUCUAGGCAAGUGUUCGACCGUUAUGCCGGUGAAGCAUUUUUCCAUGGACCGAACAGCCUCCAGAUACCUCUUCAUUCCCUCUUCUUUUGCCUCAAAGGAUUUGUCAACAUGGCCUGCUACCAACUUGGAGUCAGUUCGAAUUAGCAGGCGCCGGACUCCCAGUGCUUUCGCCUUUCUUAGGCCCAGGAGAACGGCUUCGUAUUCUGCUGCAUUGUUGGUUGUGUCGAACUGCAGUCUUGCUACGUACCGAAUCGGCACACCAUUCGGCGAAAAUAGAACUGCCGCAAUGCCUGCUCCCUUGUGCGACCACGAGCCGUCAGAGCACAUCACCCAGAAUUGUUCGGCGGGCUCGGGGUCGGGGGCAAGUACCGGUGUCCAUUCAGCUACGAAGUCGACUAGCACUUGAGACUUGAUGGCGGAGCGUGCAACAAAAUGUAAGUCGAACAGGGAUAGCUCUGCCGCCCACUUGCUGAGCCGGCCAGUGACUUCCUUGCCUCGGAGUAUUUCGCCCAAGGGGUACUGUGAUGGCACUAUGACUUUGUGGGCCUGGAAGUAGUGCUUAAGCUUGCGCGAAGCCAUCACUAGGGCGUAAGCGAGCUUUUCCAUUUCAAUGUACCUUGUCUUCGCUCCUUGCAGUGCUUCGGAGACGAAGUAGACCGGUUUUUGUCCGAACUUUGUUUCUUGGACGAGGGCAGCACUGACUGCCACCGGCGAAGCUGCUAAGUAUAAUAGCAGUUCGCUUCCUAGGGGUGGGCUUAUCAGAGCUGGCGGGCUUUGCAAGUGUUGCUUUAGCUCGUCGAAUGCUGCUUGGCACUCUGGUGUCCAAUUAAACUUUCCUGCGCCCCGGAGGGUCUUCAAGAAGGGCAAACCUCUUUCGGCUGCCUUUGAGAGGAAUCGACUAAGUGCUGCAAUUCAGCCUGCAAGCUUUUGUACUUCAUGUACGCUUGACGGAGGCUUCAUUUGCUGGAUGGCAUCGAUUUUCUCGGGAUUCGCCUCGAUGCCUCUUUCAAAAACAAGGAAACCCAACAACUUGUCUGCGCGGACGCCGAAAACGCACUUCUCCGGAUUCAGCCUUAUGCCUGCUGUGCGCAAGCUGUCGAAUGUCUUCUGCAGGUCGAUCGCAUGGUCGAAAGCCUUGCGACUUUUUACGACGAUGUCGUCGAUGUAAGCUUCCAUAUUCCGCCCCAACUGCUUGCCAAGGACCUUGUACACCAGCCUGGCGAAAGUUGCUCCUGCGUUUCUUAAGCCGAAAGGCAUCCUGAGGUGACAAAAUGUGCCGAAUGGAGUGAUGAAGGAUGUUUUGGGGAUGUCGAGCGGGUUCAUGUGGAUCUGGUGGUAACCGGAAUAUGCAUCCAGGAAACUCAUGAGCUCGCAUCCAGCUGUUGAAUCCACGAGCUGGUCGAUUCGCGGCAAAGGGAAGUCGUCUUUCGGACACGCUUUGUUCAGGUCUGUGAAAUCGACACACAUACGCCAUUUGCCGUUUGACUUCCGCACCAGCACUGGAUUUGCCAACCACUCCGGAUGGUCAAUCUCUUGGAUAACCCCCGCCCUGAGCAAUUUUUGUAUUUCGGCUUUCGCCGCUUCUUGGCGAUCGGCAGACAUCUUGCGCAACUUUUGUUUUCUUGGCUUAAUGUCCGGCUUGACUGCUAGGUGAUGCAUGAUGAGAUCCGUCGGGACACCCCCCACCUCGUUAGGGCUCCAGGCGAAGAUAUCGAUGUUCUUUUUGAGCACCUCUAGGAUACUCUCAACUUCUUCUUCGCCCAUGUCGCCCCCUAGUGAUACGAGCUUUAUGGGGUCGGCAUCAUCAAUUUGCAUUUUUGUUAUCUUGCCGUGACGGGUGGGCUUUGGCAUGUGCUUCGGCCGUUCAUGUGGUUCGGUCUCAACACUGUACACUGCUCUGUUGAUUAUGGCUAGAUCGCCUUUUGAAGCGGCCGAAGGUUGAAGCCCCUUGACUACUAUCACCCAUGUCGGGCCGGGCAUCUUGAGCUUGAGAUAAUUGUGGUGGCAAAUGGCUUCGAACUUGUUCAGGGUUGCACGGCCGAAGAUGGCGUUGUAGUUAUACGGGAUGUCGACGACGUCAAAUAGUAUUUGCUCUUCGCGUCUGUUCUCCCCCGAGCCAAAGGCUAUCAGCAAAAGUGCUUGGCCGAGAACUUGAACUGCUUCGCCGCCGAAACCGUGGAGCGAUGUUGGUGCUGGGGUAAGGGAUUGGGUAGGCAACCCCAUUGUGGCAUAUGCUUCGGCGAAGAUAACAUCGGCCGAACUCCCUCCGUCGACCAGGAUUCGUCGGACUUCGAAACCAGCUAUCUCAGCUGAGAUUACCAGGGGAUCUUGAUGCGGGAACAUAACUCCUUCUGCGUCUUCCGGCCCAAAAGAAAUUAGCUGGUUCAGAUACUGCGGCGCCCCUUCACCCGCCGAAGUGAUGCUGUGGACCAUACGGAUCUGCAUCUUCUUCUGCCGUUUGGACAACUGGCUUGGCGGGUCAGCCUUGUAAUCACUUGGAUUACCCUUCGCUGUACAUCUUGGCGUUGUUCGGCUGGGGGUGUUUGCUCCUGAACUGCUUCUCGGGGUGCUUCGACAGUUGUUCCCUGCUGCGGCCUUGGGUCUUGCGCGUUGCCACGUUGCCUAAUGUUUCGGCAUUGCUCCGUGGUGUGCGAAGAGCGUCCGUGAAAGGCACAGUAGAGGUCUUUUCGGACCUUCUUGCGGGCUGGCUGCUGAUGGUUGCUCGCUUGCUGGGCGUCGAACUCCUUGCGGAGGGCUUGCACUUCUUCGACCGCCAUCACAGCUUUGCCUGCACGGUCUGUUCUGAACUUUCUCCAAGUUAUGGGGGCCUGGCCUUGCCUUGGCGACUGUCCUUGGAUCGCCGGCUGAGACUGGCGAACAGAGAGGGGAGGUGGUUCGGCAACUUGAACUUGUACUUGAGCUUGAGCAGCGACGAUGGAGGCUUUAUCGUACUCAGCUUGUAUAGCUUGUCGUCGCUUGGAAUCCUCCUCGCCCCUUGCGAACCCGUCAAUGAUACGAAGUAGGUGCUCGAGCGUCUGUGGCUCCUUGUUGGCGAUUUUUCUUGUGAGUUCGCCCUCGAGCAGACCGGCCGAAGUGGCGUUUAUAACCGACGCCUCGGUUAUGUCUUGAACAUGGCACCGGGCUUGCGAGAAGCGACGCAUGUACUCCCUUAUCGACUCCCCCGGCCUUUGGCGAAUGCCGAGUAGGUGUUGCUGCGUCUUCGGCUCCUCAUAGGUGCCUCGAAAGUUAAGGACAAAAACAUCGCGCAAUUGCUCCCAUGAGUAAAUGCUAUUGGCUAGUAAAUUGAAAUACCAAGAACGGGCGAUGCCGUCUAGAGCGAGAUGUAUUACCUUUGCCUUGGUAUUUUCGUCACCAUGAGCCACUUCGAUCGCUGACUCGUAGAUGGAGAGGAACUCCUUCGGGUCAGUUUCGCCUGAAUAGCGCGGGACGGGUGGGAACUUGAACUGUGGUGGGAUUGGACGAGUCUUGAUUCCCCCACUCAGCGGUAGCCCCUUUUCUCCUCCCGCCCUGUUUGCCGCACCUUGCUGCGGGUACGGUGUGGUGAAAGGCAAAAUCGCAGCUUGUGCGUGAGGUUGGGCCGUGGCAUUCGACUGCCCGGUUCCAACUGGAGGUACUUGCUGAGCCACCAUAGAUGGGUCAAAAAUUGGCUGCGACCACAUCAUGGCAGCUUUGAUUGGUGCUUGGUUUGUUCCGAAGCCUGGAGUUGGAGCUUGCUGCCGAACGGUUGGCACCUGAGUAGCAUUGACGAAGUCGAACUGCGGUCCUUGAUUCCACGGCGAAACUCCCAGGCCUGGCUGAAUCGGUGGCAACCAAUUAGGCGCACCUUGACUUGUAUUCCCCUCCGGGUGGGCCGAUGGGGUUGUACUUGAAAUGCAGUGAGGUUGGUAGAGUUGCUGAAGGAAAGCUUGGAGUUGCGCCUGCAGAGCCGAAGCCCCUUCCGCCACUGUUUGUGGCGCUUGGCCAGGUGGUUGAUGGUGUACUUGGGCAGUGACUGGUUGAGCUUGCAGUUGCACGUGAGGGGCCGGACGCACAGCUGCGGCCGAUUGCUGCCCGGUGAAGUACACCGGCGCCUGUGCGGCUUGUGGCGGAAAGGGCUGGGUCGUCACUUGCAGAUGGACUUGAAGUGGGACAUAACCUGCCGAAUACUGAAGGAUUGGAGCCGACGUGGCCUUGGUCCGCUUUGCCGCCUCGUAUGCUUCUUGUUGUUCUUGCAUUCGGCGAAGCAUGUCUUGGAGCCGUGUCAUGUUCUGUCGCAUGGCUUCCAUGUCGGCUUCGGCUUGUGCUUCAGGGUCAGGGCUGACUUGGGCCUGCACAACGGCGAGCGCAGUUGGGGCCGCUGCCGCCAGCGAUGGAGCGGCUUGGGGCACCACCGGUUGGCUUGUCGAAAGGAUCUCCGCCCUGGUCUGGAGUGCCCUUGCCACCGCAGCCGCCUUCGCCACGUCGGCCGCGUUCGGCACUUGCACAGUGGUUGCAGGGGCCGAAGGCGGUUGUGAUGGCGCUUGUCCUCCUCCAUCUUCGGCCACGGGUGCCGAAGGCUCUGCUCCUUCCUCGGCGGCCAUGUCCGGUCCGGCGUCGCUUUCCUUCCGCCUGGCAACCUUCUCCUUCACGACUCUCUUCGGUGGCAUUCGCUCUCGGUGGUUUCGCUCGGAGGUCCCCACGGUCGGCGCCAGCUGUUGUCGAAAUGACAACUGCAUACGUCGAAAGACGUGGUUACUCAACAGUGGUUGGAAGGAAACAAAGUGUAUUGAAUCUUGAAUUUCUUCCUUUUUUCUCCCCCCAUUACAUGGCCCUAGGGGACUAUUUAUAGCCCCAUUCCAGGUUCUUACUACUAGGGUUUAGGUUAUACAGGGGAAUUUACAUGAUUACCCUUACGAAAGGGACAUUUACAGAGGUACAUAAUGUUAUAGGGGCUCAUGGGCCCCUGAUGGGCCGUCUGGCGAUCGCCGGCCCUAUAGCCCCUAGGCUUGACGGGCCAGAAAGGCUUCUUCGGCCCUCGCGAGGACGAACUUGCUAUGGCGAAGUCGUCUUCCUUCGGCAGAUAGUCUUCGCCUUGAACCCUUCGCCUGAGACGCCUCUGGCCUGGCAAGGCACUCGUACGACUCUUCGCCUCACGCCGUUCUUGCUCCAUAGCCUUCGCCAUUUGGUCGAAGGGCCUCAUGCCAUCCGCCAACAUUAAGGAUAGAGCAUGUCGUACUAUAAUCGAUAGUGAGAGUUGCAAUAACUUUGUGAGUUCAGAUUUGGUUGAGAAACUUGAGUUGCUUACACAACCGCAUCCUCAUCCAUAUUACAUCAAAUGGUUCAACUCUUGUGGUAAGUUCAAGGUAAAUAGAAUUGUGAGAAUAAACUUUUCGAUUUGAAAUUACCAUGAUACUGCCAAUUUUGAUCUUGUCCCUAUGCAAGCAUGUUCUUUGUUGUUUGGUCAACCAUGGGCAUAUGAUAAUAAUGGUUCGCAUAAUUUUGUUGCUAAUACAUACACAUUUAGACAUAAUGGUCGAAAAAUGAAAUUGGUACCCAUGAGUUUUACUGAAAUUUUUGAAGAUAAUCUUGAAAGGAUGAAGAAUGGAAUCGAGGAAAAUUUCAAAGAUAGUAUUGAAAGGACAAAAAAUAGAAUCGAUGAGAUUUUUAGAGAUACUAGGAAAGAUACUAAUAUUGCGAUGCCUUCAACUAAGUCUGAGUUAUUACAAAAUGAAUGUAUUGUUGUGCCUAUUGCUUUGGAUACUAAUAUUUUGCAGGCAUCAGGGAACAACCAAGGUAAUGAGGAGGAAGAGAAGAAAGACGAAGAGAAAAAAGACCUAUCUAUAGCUCCAUGCAUGCUUGAAGAAUGUUCAAUUGGAAAAGCACCUAUAAUUUAUGAAGAUAAGAAUAAUAAAGGUAAUGAUAAUGGUGCUACAACUUCUCAAGGUAUGCAUAGUUAUGAUGUGCCACCUAUGUCUACUACUUAUGCUACGUUAGAGCAACCAACAGUGGAAAUAAUUGUUGAAAUACCUUUAUCACAAAAUAAUUUGCUUCAUAUUUCUUAUCAUAAAGAAGAGUUGUGCGAUGCUUCACUUAUAUCCAUGCCCCAACUAGUGAAUGAACAUAUUAAUUCUAUAGUAGAACCACUAUGUGUUGAGUUUAAACAUGUUAUUCACAUUGCUAGCGAGAAUGAAGAGUUUAAAUAGCUAUCUUCUUUAAAUACUUGGGAUUAUAUUCAAUUUGAUGACCUUUGUCCACUCAACUAUUUAGAGAAGAAACUAUUUGCUAGAUUGGAAUUGCCAUGCCCUUCUGAUGUGAUUUUUCAUAUUAUUGGCAAUUAUGAUAGUAAAGGAGAAUAUAAUGUGCAUCGAGUAUAUAUUUGUUCGAAUUUUACUAUACAUCCUUUUCAUGAUGAAAUGUAUUGUCUAGAGGACCGCAUGUAUAUAAAUAAUUAUCUAUCUAGUUCCUCUAGUUGUUUAAAUGAGUUACAGGUUGGUUUGCAAGAAGGAGAGUGUUGUAGUUUUUCGACUACAAAGAUUUUAGGAUCCAAUCAUAUGGUCAUCAAGAAAUGUUCAGCACAGGAUGUUGUAAUAGACAAAGAUAAGUACAAUACGCUCCAUGACAAGGUGAAACUGAGGACAGUUUCCAAUCAAGAAGGGGAGGAUGAUGAGGACACAACUAGCUCAGAUAUAACCAUGACUAUCUUAUGUAUUAAUCAACCAAAGGUGCAUAUGUUCUAUAUUAGAUUUACAUGUUAUAUAUUUGAACAAACGUUGCUACACAAUGAGUUUCCUGUGUUUUUGUUUGCAGAGGUACUUUCUUGGGCGAAAGAAAAGAGACUGAGCGUAAAGAAUUCAUGGAUGAUCAAAGAAGUUGAUUGGGGACCAUAUCAAUACCUUCUCCAAGUCUUCUUUCAUUUCACCACGUCACUUUUGGUCCAUAGAAGACAAGAGAUAAAAUUCCACACGUU
rnacentral:lncRNA from 1 species